CUCGUCCAGCCUGCAGCCGAGUUGAAAAUCGUACCCCUGUCUGGCUCGACGCAUAUAGAACUUGGUAUGGUCCGCGACGGGGAAAAAUUCAGCACCAAUCGUGAUUGUUACAUUAUGAGCAACAUUCCGCCACGAUUUUAUGGCUUGACCCACGUGCGCGUUUACAAUGACGAAACACAGGUAUCAUUCCAAAUAAACGUACCCGCCAUUGUGUACGUCGCAAGUGACUCGCGCAAAUCCAAUAUACUGCCAUCCUACUUUUUGAAUACGGGAGAGAAAGUCGCUCUUGCUGGUUGUCAUCCCGAACUGGACUUCCCUGUCUACGCCAAAAAAUGCAACCCCGGAAUUGUUCAGAUUCAUUUGCACGAAGUUCGAACGUUGACCGUUUUCGUGGAGCCCAUCGUUGACAACACAUUCAAGUCUGGCGUUUAUUAGAACGUUUUUGAUUACUCGAUAUAUAUACCAGUUGAUUUUUUGAAUAUAUCUUAUUGGCUAUAUAUUUCAACAAACUUUCAUCGUUUGCCAUUUUAUUGUAUUUGACUGUUUAUUUGCAUGCGUUAGUUAUUUGUUGAAAACUGUAGUAUACAAGUUUCUCUUUUUUCACUUUUCACUUAAAUAGCAUGUAAUUAUAUGCAUGACUAUAUCUAUACAGGCCCAAGUAUCGUUUGCCCAUACAGCUUAACCCCGCGUAUAAGAACCUAGAUUUUAAGAACCUGUUAGGCUAAAAUUGCUUAUUUAGACCGACCCCCUUUAUAUACUAUAAACCUGUUUAGGCUAAAAUGUCAAACACUCAGGUUCUUAUUUUAUUUUUAUCACUUGAAACUAUUAGUUGAAACUAAAAACUUAUAAAUCAAAGAAAAUAAACUCUUCACAAAGUAAUGAAAGUGACCCAGAAGUCAGAGUCCUGGAUAUGCCAAAACAAUAAACAGCAUGUCUGUUUAAAUACAUCAACAAAAAAUAACCGUACCUACACCAACCGCCCGAAUUCGGGUCGCUUUUUCUUUAGAAAAUAAGAACCUAUUUAAGAACAGUUUAGCCUAAUUUCACGAUAAGCACCAUUUAUAUAAGAACCUGUUUCGGCUAACUUGAAAAAUGUAGGUUAUUAUAUAUAGCUAUUUCAAUUAAGGUUGUCCACGAGC